CUUCCGUAGGGUGACCUGCGGAAGGAUCAUUACCUAGAGUUUGCAGACUUCGGUCUGCUACCUCUUACCCAUGUCUUUUGAGUACCUUCGUUUCCUCGGCGGGUCCGCCCGCCGGUUGGACAACAUUCAAACCCUUUGCAGUUGCAAUCAGCGUCUGAAAAAACAUAAUAGUUACAACUUUCAACAACGGAUCUCUUGGUUCUGGCAUCGAUGAAGAACGCAGCGAAAUGCGAUAAGUAGUGUGAAUUGCAGAAUUCAGUGAAUCAUCGAAUCUUUGAACGCACAUUGCGCCCCUUGGUAUUCCAUGGGGCAUGCCUGUUCGAGCGUCAUUUGUACCUUCAAGCUCUGCUUGGUGUUGGGUGUUUUGUCUCGCCUCCGCGUGUAGACUCGCCUUAAAACAAUUGGCAGCCGGCGUAUUGAUUUCGGAGCGCAGUACAUCUCGCGCUUUGCACUCAUAACGACGACGUCCAAAAGUACAUUUUUACACUCUUGACCUCGGAUCAGGUAGGGAUACCCGCUGAACUUAAGCAUAUCAAAAGCCCGGAGGAA
rnacentral:rRNA from 1 species